rnacentral:piRNA from 1 species
UAAAAUUAUUUUAAUGCAUUGUAG